CAUUUUGCAAAGUGAGUGUUGUGCAAAGUUUGAAUUAUCACAACGUUGCAAAUUUGAACUGAAUUUGAGCAGAGUGAUGGCUGUCGGUCAAAUUAAAAGUUUUGUUGUGAUGAUCUUACUGAUAAUGUUUAUUAUUGUACAAGCUGAAAGCAUCUCUCAAUCUCGAGAAUUAAAUUCUAACAAUGGUAAUGAACCUUAUUGUAUAAGGUGUCCUGAUAUGUGUAAUAGAAAUCCUCCAGUCCGUGAUUUUGAUGCGUGUGUGGCAGAUUGUAAAAAAAAAUAUUGCUAGUAUCAUAUUUCUUUGCAUGACAAGGAGCUGGAGUACUGAUGCAUACAUACACUACUUCAUCCUUGAUAUAUUCUAGCAAUAAUAAAUAAAUUUCGUGUAUGCUUUAUGAGAUCAUAUGCAAUAAAAUGUAAUUGAGAAA